CAGCCGCCGCGGUAAUACGGAGGGUGCAAGCGUUAUCCGGAUUCACUGGGUUUAAAGGGCGCGUAGGCGGAUCUGUAAGUCAGUGGUGAAAUCUCCAGGCUUAACCUGGAAACUGCCGUUGAUACUAUAGGUCUUGAAUUUUGUGGAGGUUAGCGGAAUAUGUCAUGUAGCGGUGAAAUGCAUAGAUAUGACAUAGAACACCAAUUGCGAAGGCAGCUGGCUACACAACUAUUGACGCUGAGGCACGAAAGCGUGGGGAUCAAACAGGAUUAGAUACCCCGGUAGUCCCUGUCUCUUAUAC
rnacentral:rRNA from 1 species